CUGCUCUCGUCACCAUCUCUCCGACUCACCCCUCUGUCCUCGCAAGCCGCCGCCGGCCAAGUCCUGUCCCUCUCCCUUGUCUGGUUCGGAUCGUCGUUGCUAGCCAGGUGCUGGAUCCGUAGCGGCGGCGGCGGCCAUGGACAAGAGCAUGCUCGGCGACCUGGACGGCCUCCCCGAGGAGGACAAGAUGCGGAUGGCCGCCAUGAUCGACCAGCUCCAGAUCCGCGACAGCCUGAGAAUGUACAAUUCGCUGGUGGAGAGGUGCUUCACGGACUGCGUGGACACGUUCCGGCGCAAGAACCUGGACAAGCAAGAGGAGUCGUGCGUCCGCCGGUGCGCGGAGAAGUUCCUGAAGCACUCCAUGAGGGUCGGCAUGAGCGAGCAGGCAUCCUGGAUGAGGUGAAUCCGUCGACUAGUGUCAGGCUGCGGUACAGCCCAGCUGUUUCAGUUGCAUCGAGUGAUCUGGAAAAGGCUCAGUUCCUUAAAGCAUGCGCAGCUGGUAGGUACGUGUACGCCGUCCAACGGGCAGGGCGGCUCAUCAAUUGCACAGCUUGUUGA
rnacentral:misc_RNA from 1 species